rnacentral:rRNA from 1 species
UACGUAGGGUGCAAGCGUUUAAUCGGAAUUACUGGGCGUAAAGCGUGCGCAGGCGGUUGUGCAAGACAGAUGUGAAAUCCCCGGGCUCAACCUGGGAAUUGCAUUUGUGACUGCACGGCUAGAGUGUGUCAGAGGGGGGUAGAAUUCCACGUGUAGCAGUGAAAUGCGUAGAGAUGUGGAGGAAUACCGAUGGCGAAGGCAGCCCCCCUGGGAUAACACUGACGCUCAUGCACGAAAGCGUGGGGAGCAAACAGG